GUACAGGACGAACGCUGGCGGCACGCUUAACACAUGCAAGUCGAACGGAGAUAAUCGGAGCUUGCUCUGAUUGUCUUAGUGGCGGACGGGUGAGUAACACGUGAGCAACCUGCCUUUGAGAGUGGAAUAGCUUCUGGAAACGGAUGGUAAUACCGCAUAACGUUGCGAAACCGCAUGAUUUUGCAACCAAAGAUUUAUCGCUCAAAGAUGGGCUCGCGUCUGAUUAGAUAGUUGGUGGGGUAACGGCCUACCAAGUCGACGAUCAGUAGCCGGACUGAGAGGUUGAACGGCCACAUUGGGACUGAGACACGGCCCAGACUCCUACGGGAGGCAGCAGUGGGGAAUAUUGCACAAUGGGCGGAAGCCUGAUGCAGCGAUGCCGCGUGGAGGAAGAAGGUUUUCGGAUUGUAAACUCCUGAUCUGAGGGACGAUAGUGACGGUACCUCAGGAGAAAGCUCCGGCUAACUACGUGCCAGCCGCCGC
rnacentral:rRNA from 1 species